AUUCCAGCUCCUAUAGCGUAUAUUAAAGUUGUUGCGGUUAAAAAGCUCGUAGUUGGAUUUCUGGGAAGGACGACCGGUCCACCCACUGGGUGAGAACAUGGUUCGGCUUGACCAUUUUCUUGGAGAACGCUGCUGCGCUUCAAUGUGUGGGGUGGUAUCCAAGACUUUUACUUUGAGGAAAUUAGAGUGUUUCAAGCAGGCGCACGCCCUGAACACAUUAGCAUGGAGUAAUGAGGUAAGACCUUGGCUCUAUUUUGUUGGUUUCUAGAGCUGAGGUAACGAUUAAUAGGGAUAGUCGGGGGCAUUCGUAUUUAACUGUCAGAGGUGAAAUUCAUGGAUUUGUUAAAGACGGACUACUGCGAAAGCAUUUGCCAAGGAUGUUUUCAUCA
rnacentral:rRNA from 1 species